AUAUAUAAAAUAACACAAAAGUUUCGGUGAUUGUGUUCGAUUAAAGGAGAGAUGGUUGGCAUCUCCCCUGACAGGGUCGGGAACAGCCUUCGGGCUUCCCUGUUAACACAAACGGUUAAGGCUACCCACCUCUUGUAGGUGGAUCUAACCCAAUUUUUUUUUCUUCUUUUGCAGGUUAAUAAUGGAGAUGGCGAGAAGAAGGUAAGAGGCCAACGAAUGAAGCAAUGAGAUCGUAGUAGGAACUCAUCAUAUUUGGAUUCAUACUUGAAUCCUGCUUUCAGGCUUUAAUCAAUGAUCCAGAUCAAAGACGCAAGGAACAAUGGGCGCAGACUGGACGGAAUUAUGGUAGAUUUGCUUGGAUUUGGUGACCUUGCUGGACCUCCUUCAAAUUUCUUGUUUGUUUUCAUGUCUUUAUAUAUAUAUAGUGGUCUGCUAUCCUCCACCCACACAGUCAACAGGUAUCUUCUGUGGAAGUGUAGAAAGGGAGUUGGAAGGACCUAAAGAUAUCAAUUGAUGUAGCAAGAAAAUGAAAAUGGGUUUGCUUUAGUUUGUGUAAAAACGUUUUAAUAGAAGAGAGCAAAAAUGUGCCCGCAACAAAGAAAUAGAGGAUGUUGGAAUAAUUUUCAUCAUACUACUCAAUCAUAGCAAAAUUGAGAAAUAGUUCUUUGCUCAAGCUGGCUUUCUCUGCCCUGCUUUGAGGAAUCCUUCUGACCAUUUUCUUAAAUGCAUCAAUUCAGACUUUGAUAAAGAAAAGGCCACUCUCAAAGGUUCUAUCGUUCAUCACAACAUUGUUAUGCGGCAUUAGAAAAAGUUGAGGAGAUGUCAAUUUGAACGAUUUGUUAAAAGAAGACGAAUUCUUGUAGGCCCAAAUUCCUCGACUUUAAAGGUUCAUAUAAGCUUUCUCUCAUUUCAUACUUCAUUUUUUCAGAAUAUUGAUUCGGGAUUGGACUAACCUAUAAACUAAGAAAAAGAAAUUAAUACAA